rnacentral:snRNA from 1 species
UUUUCUUCAUUUUAGUGCGUUCU